AGGUGCUGCAUGGCUGUCGUCAGCUCGUGUCGUGAGAUGUUGGGUUAAGUCCCGCAACGAGCGCAACCCCCGUGUUCUGUUGCCACCCGGAUGAGAAUCCGGAGCACUCUGGACAGACUGCCUGGUUUCAACCAGGAGGAAGGUGGGGAUGACGUCAAGUCAGUAUGGCCCUUACGGCCAGGGCUGCACACGUACUACAAUGCCUGAUAUAAUGGGAAGCGAGACCGCGAGGUGGAGCAAAUCCUCAAAAUCAGGCCCAGUUCAGAUUGUAGGCUGCAACUCGCCUACAUGAAGGAGGAAUCGCUAGUAAUGCCGUAUCAGCUACGACGGCGUGAAUACGUUCCCAGGCCUUGUACACACCGCCCGUCACA
rnacentral:rRNA from 1 species